UGCCAGCAGCCGCGGUAAUACGGGAGUGGCAAGCGUUAUCCGGAAUUAUUGGGCGUAAAGCGUCCGCAGGCGGCCUUGUAAGUCUGUCGUUAAAGCGUGGAGCUUAACUCCAUUUAAGCGAUGGAAACUACAAGGCUUGAGUGUGGUAGGGGCAGAGGGAAUUCCCGGUGUAGCGGUGAAAUGCGUAGAUAUCGGGAAGAACACCAGUGGCGAAGGCGCUCUGCUGGGCCAUAACUGACGCUCAUGGACGAAAGCCAGGGGAGCGAAAGGGAUUAGAUACCCCUGUAGUCCUGGCCGUAAACGAUGAACACUAGGUGUCGGGGGAAUCGACCCCCUCGGUGUCGUAGCUAACGCGUUAAGUGUUCCGCCUGGGGAGUACGCACGCAAGUGUGAAACUCAAAGGAAUUGACGGGGGCCCGCACAAGCGGUGGAGUAUGUGGUUUAAUUCGAUGCAACGCGAAGAACCUUACCAGGGUUUGACAUCCUGCGAAUCCCUUGGAAACGAGGGAGUGCCUUCGGGAGCGCAGAGACAGGUGGUGCAUGGCUGUCGUCAGCUCGUGUCGUGAGAUGUUGGGUUAAGUCCCGCAACGAGCGCAACCCACGUCUUUAGUUGCCAGCAUUCAGUUGGGCACUCUAGAGAGACCGCCGGUGAUAAACCGGAGGAAGGUGUGGAUGACGUCAAGUCAUCAUGCCCCUUACAUCCUGGGCUACACACGUACUACAAUGCUACGGACAAAGGGUUGCAAGCUCGCGAGAGUUAGCUAAUCCCAUAAACCGUGGCUCAGUUCAGAUCGUAGGCUGCAACUCGCCUACGUGAAGGAGGAAUCGCUAGUAAUCGCAGGUCAGCAUACUGCGGUGAAUACGUUCCCGGGCCUUGUACACACCGCCCGUCACACCAUGGAAGUUGGCCAUGCCCGAAGUCGUUACUCCAACCC
rnacentral:rRNA from 1 species